UAAAUAAAUGUCUCACAAGAACACAUACAAACCGAAAUAAGAAAGAAAAAGAACACAUAUUCUACGAACAAGAUGAACACAUCAAGGAACUCUACUGCUCUCAAAUUGGCAUUCUUAUUUGCUUUCUUCAUCAUCACAUCAGAUAUGUGCAUGAAGUCAGCAGCACAGUCACCUGUAGUAUCAUGGCCCUGCGUAUCAUCAAAUCAGUGCAAAAUUGGCAAUUUUAGUUGCCAAUGUAUUAAAAAUCAAUGUGUUUGUGGAAGACCCCCUGUUAAUGAUAACAAUUCUAUUCCAAAACGCUCAAUUGCAAAUUGAGUAAUGAGAUAUAUAGUGCGUCAAGCAUAGUGUAUAAUAAGAAGGUUAAUUUGUCAUAAAAAAUAAUAAAAAGGUUGUCGAGAAAAUAUUCCAUCUUAUUUUAUUUUCAAACUUUAUCUAAUAAAUGUGAUAAAAGCUUGUUUAA